rnacentral:rRNA from 1 species
UGGUGGAGUGAUUUGUCUGGUUAAUUCCGAUAACGAACGAGACCUCAGCCUGCUAAAUAGUCACGUCAACCUUCUGCAUGGGUGAAGGGCAUAGCGGCCUUGGGCCGUCGGCGCUGUAAAAGGCGUCGGCGUUUGCUCAAGCCCUUUGUCUGGAUCCUUGAAUGGUUGCCACGGAUGUACUUCUUAGAGGGACUAUUCAUGUUAUAGUGAAUGGAAGUUUGAGGCAAUAACA